GCAAACUUGGUCAUUUAGAGGAAGUAAAAGUCGUAACAAGGUUUCCGUAGGUGAACCUGCGGAAGGAUCAUUACCGAGUUAGGGUGCUGAAAAAUGCGCCCGACCUCCAACCCUUUGCUUACUUGACCCUUUGUUGCUUCGGCAGGCCCGUCUUCGUGACCGCCGGGAGUCUCUGACGGCUCUUGGUCCGCGCCUGCCGACGGCCCAACUUAAACCUUUGCUUAAACGUGUCGUCUAAGUGAUUGUUAAAAACAAAUAAUCAAAAACUUUCAACAACGGAUCUCUUGGUUCUGGCAUCGAUGAAGAACGCAGC
rnacentral:misc_RNA from 1 species